GUUUGUUUGAAGUUAUAAAGAAUUUAACCUGCCCCCUGAUUAUUUAUUUAAAGGGCCGCAGUAUUAUAACUGUGCAAAGGUAGCAUAAUCAUUAGGUUUUUAAUUGAAAUCUCGUAUGAAUGGUUGGACAAAAGAAAAACUCUCUUUAUAUUAAGUUUUGAAUUUAACUUUUAAGUGAAAAGGCUUAAAUAUUCUAAAGGGACGAUAAGACCCUAUAAAACUUUACAUUGUCGUUAAUUUUGAUUGAAUUUAUAAAAUAAAAAUUUUAUUUGAUUAUUUGUUAUGUUGGGGAGACAUAAGUAAAAAUUUUUUAACUGCUUUGACAAUUAUACAAUUAUUAAUGGAAUAAUAGAAGAUCCUUUUUUAAGAUUAGUAGAUUAAGUUACUUUAGGGAUAACAGUGUAAUUUCUUUUGAGAGUUCUUAUCGAAAAAGAAGAUUGCAACCUCGAUGUUGAAUUAAAAUAUCUAUAUAAUGAAGAGGUUAUAUAAGAAGGUCUGUUCGACCUUGAAAAUUUUACAUGAUUUGAGUUCAAACCGGUGUAAG
rnacentral:rRNA from 2 species